GGGGAUUUAGCUCAGCGGCAUAAAGUGCCUGCCUGGCAAGCAGUAGGUUGUGAGUUCAAUCCUCG
rnacentral:tRNA from 1 species